GACGAACGCUGGCGGCGUGCUUAACACAUGCAAGUCGAACGGAAAGGCCCUGCUUUUGUGUGGCGCUCGAGUGGCGAACGGGUGAGUAACACGUGAGUAACCUGCCCUGGACUUUGGGAUAACUUCAGGAAACUGGGGCUAAUGCCGGAUAGGAGCUCCUGCUGCAUGGUGGGGGUUGGAAAGUUUCGGCGGAUGGGGAUGGACUGGGGGGUUAUCAGCUUGUUGGUGGGGUAGUGGCUUACCCGGCCAUUGACGGGUAGCCGGCCGGGGAGGUUGACCGGCCACAUUGGGACUGAGAUACGGCCCAGACUGCUACGGGAGGCAGCAGUGGGGAAUAUUGCACAAUGGGCGGAAGCCUGAUGCAGCAACGCCGCGUGCGGGAUGACGGCCUUCGGGUUGUAAACCGCUUUCGCCUGUGACCAAGCGUGAGUGACGGUAAUGGGAAAAGAAGCACCGGCUAACUACGUG
rnacentral:rRNA from 1 species